CUCAUGUUAACUGUUUAAAAGAAGCAACGGCUUCACUAUCAGAUGGACCUGCGUUGUAUUAGCUAGUAGGUAGGGUAACGGCCUACCUAGGCAACGAUACAUAGCCGACCUGAGAGGGUGAACGGCCACACUGGGACUGAGACACGGCCCAGACUCCUACGGGAGGCAGCAGUAGGGAAUCUUCGGCAAUGGACGCAAGUCUGACCGAGCAACGCCGCGUGAGUGAAGACGGUUUUCGGAUCGUAAAGCUCUGUUGUAGGGGAAGAACGUGUGUAAGAGUGGAAAGCUUACACAGUGACGGUACCCUACCAGAAAGGGACGGCUAACUACGUGCCAGCAGCCGCGGUAAUACGUAGGUCCCGAGCGUUGUCCGGAUUUAUUGGGCGUAAAGGGAGCGCAGGCGGUUUAGUAAGUCUGAAGUUAAAGGCAUUGGCUCAACCAAUGUAUGCUUUGGAAACUGUUAGACUUGAGUGCAGAAGGGGAGAGUGGAAUUCCAUGUGUAGCGGUGAAAUGCGUAGAUAUAUGGAGGAACACCGGUGGCGAAAGCGGCUC
rnacentral:rRNA from 1 species